AAUGAACGCUGGCGGCAGGCCUAACACAUGCAAGUCGAACGGAUCCUUCGGGAUUAGUGGCGGACGGGUGAGUAACGCGUGGGAACAUACCCUUUGGUACGGAAUAGCCUCGGGAAACUGGGAGUAAUACCGUAUGUGGUCGAGAGACGAAAGAUUUAUCGCCAAAGGAUUGGCCCGCGUUGGAUUAGGUAGUUGGUGGGGUAAUGGCCUACCAAGCCGACGAACCAUAGCUGGUUUGGGAGGAUGAUCAGCCACACUGGGACUGAGACACGGCCCAGACUCCUACGGGAGGCAGCAGUGGGGAAUCUUAGACAAUGGGGGAAACCCUGAUCUAGCCAUGCCGCGUGAUCGAUGAAGGCCUUAGGGUUGCAAAGAUCUUUCAGGUGGGAAGAUAAUGACUGUACCACCAGAAGAAGCCCCGGCUAACUCCGUGCCAGCCGCCGCGGUAA
rnacentral:rRNA from 1 species